rnacentral:rRNA from 1 species
UACGUAGGGAGCGAGCGUUGUCCGGAAUUACUGGGCGUAAAGGGUGCGUAGGCGGCGCUGCAAGUCAGAUGUGAAAUCCCCGGGCUUAACCCGGGUUCUGCAUUUGAAACUGCAGUGCUUGAGUGCAGGAGAGGAAAGCGGAAUUCCUAGUGUAGCGGUGAAAUGCGUAGAUAUUAGGAAGAACACCAGUGGCGAAGGCGGCUUUCUGGACUGUUACUGACGCUGAGGCACGAAAGCGUGGGGAGCAAAC